rnacentral:rRNA from 1 species
CGGGGGGCAGCAGUGGGGAAUAUUGGACAAUGGGCGCAAGCCUGAUCCAGCCAUGCCGCGUGAGUGAUGAAGGCCUUAGGGUUGUAAAGCUCUUUUACCCGGGAAGAUAAUGACGGUACCGGGAGAAUAAGCCCCGGCUAACUUCGUGCCAGCAGCCGCGGUAAUACGAAGGGGGCUAGCGUUGUUCGGAUUUACUGGGCGUAAAGCGCACGUAGGCGGAUCUUUAAGUCAGAGGUGAAAUCCCAGGGCUCAACCCUGGAACUGCCUUUGAUACUGGGGAUCUCGAGUCCGGGAGAGGUGAGUGGAACUGCGAGUGUAGAGGUGAAAUUCGUAGAUAUUCGCAAGAACACCAGUGGCGAAGGCGGCUCACUGGCCCGGAACUGACGCUGAGGUGCGAAAGCGUGGGGAGCAAACAGGAUUAGAUACCCCGGU